rnacentral:rRNA from 1 species
ACUCCCAAACCCCUGUGAACAUACCAAUUGUUGCCUCGGCGGAUCAGCCCGCUCCCGGUAAAACGGGACGGCCCGCCAGAGGACCCCUAAACUCUGUUUCUAUAUGUAACUUCUGAGUAAAACCAUAAAUAAAUCAAAACUUUCAACAACGGAUCUCUUGGUUCUGGCAUCGAUGAAGAACGCAGCAAAAUGCGAUAAGUAAUGUGAAUUGCAGAAUUCAGUGAAUCAUCGAAUCUUUGAACGCACAUUGCGCCCGCCAGUAUUCUGGCGGGCAUGCCUGUUCGAGCGUCAUUUCAACCCUCAAGCCCAGCUUGGUGUUGGGACUCGCGAGUCAAAUCGCGUUCCCCAAAUUGAUUGGCGGUCACGUCGAGCUUCCAUAGCGUAGUAGUAAAACCCUCGUUACUGGUAAUCGUCGCGGCCACGCCGUUAAACCCCAACUUCUGAAUGUUGACCUCGGAUCAGGUAGGAAUACCCGCUGAACUUAAGCAUAUCAAUAAGCGGAGGAAAAGAAACCAACAGGGAUUGCCCUAGUAACGGCGAGUGAAGCGGCAACAGCUCAAAUUUGAAAUCUGGCUCUCGGGCCCGAGUUGUAAUUUGUAGAGGAUACUUUUGAUGCGGUGCCUUCCGAGUUCCCUGGAACGGGACGCCAUAGAGGGUGAGAGCCCCGUCUGGUUGGAUGCCAAAUCUCUGUAAAGUUCCUUCGACGAGUCGAGUAGUUUGGGAAUGCUGCUCUAAAUGGGAGGUAUAUGUCUUCUAAAGCUAAAUACCGGCCAGAGACCGAUAGCGCACAAGUAGAGUGAUCGAAAGAUGAAAAGCACUUUGAAAAGAGAGUUAAAAAGUACGUGAAAUUGUUGAAAGGGAAGCGUUUAUGACCAGACUUGGGCUUGGUUGAUCAUCUGGGGUUCUCCCCAGUGCACUCUUCCAGUCCAGGCCAGCAUCAGUUUUCGCCGGGGGAUAAAGACUUCGGGAAUGUGGCUCUCUUCGGGGAGUGUUAUAGCCCGUUGUGUAAUACCCUGGCGG